rnacentral:rRNA from 1 species
UACGUAGGCAGCAAGCGUUGUUCGGAGUUACUGGGCGUAAAGGGUGUGUAGGCGGUUGCUUAAGUUUGGUGUGAAAUCUCCCGGCUCAACUGGGAGGGUGCGCCGAAUACUGAGUGACUUCGAGUGCGGGAGAGGAAAGUGGAAUUCCUGGUGUAGCGGUGAAAUGCGUAGAUAUCAGGAGGAACACCGGUGGUGUAGACGGCUUUCUGGACCGUAACUGACGCUGGAGACACGGAAAGCGUGGGUAGCAAACAGG